rnacentral:rRNA from 1 species
UGGCCAUGCGCAGCCUACACAUGCAGUCCGAGCGGAUGAGAGGAAGCUUGCUCCCUUGAUUUAGCGGCGGACGGGUGAGUAAUGCCUAGGAAUCUGCCUGGUAGUGGGGGAUAACGUUCCGAAAGGAACGCUAAUACCGCAUACGUCCUACGGGAGAAAGCAGGGGACCUUCGGGCCUUGCGCUAUCAGAUGAGCCUAGGUCGGAUUAGCUAGUUGGUGAGGUAAUGGCUCACCAAGGCGACGAUCCGUAACUGGUCUGAGAGGAUGAUCAGUCACACUGGAACUGAGACACGGUCCAGACUCCUACGGGAGGCAGCAGUGGGGAAUAUUGGACAAUGGGCGAAAGCCUGAUCCAGCCAUGCCGCGUGUGUGAAGAAGGUCUUCGGAUUGUAAAGCACUUUAAGUUGGGAGGAAGGGCAUUAACCUAAUACGUUAGUGUUUUGACGUUACCGACAGAAUAAGCACCGGCUAACUUCGUGCCAGCAGCCGCGGUAAUACGAAGGGUGCAAGCGUUAAUCGGAAUUACUGGGCGUAAAGCGCGCGUAGGUGGUUCGUUAAGUUGGAUGUGAAAGCCCCGGGCUCAACCUGGGAACUGCAUCCAAAACUGGCGAGCUAGAGUACGGUAGAGGGUGGUGGAAUUUCCUGUGUAACGGUGAAAUGCGUAGAUAUAGGAUAGAACACCACUGGCGCAAGCGGGCAC